AGUGAACGUUGGCGGCGUGGAUUAGGCAUGCAAGUCGAGCGAGAACCGUAGCAAUACGGGGACAGCGGCGAAAGGGACAGUAAUGUGUAGGUACCUACCUCCGGGUUCGGGAUAGCUGCGGGAAACUGCAGGUAAUACCGAAUAACGUCUCCGGACCAAAGGUGUGAUUCCACCUGGAGAGGGGCCUGCAUCCUAUUAGCUUGUUGGCGGGGUAACGGCCCACCAAGGCGACGAUGGGUGGCGGGUGUGAGAGCACGACCCGCGUCAUUGGGGUUGAGACACUGUCCAGACACCUACGGGUAGCUGCAGUCGUGAAUCUUCGGCAAUGGGCGCAAGCCUGACGGAGCGACGCCGCGUGCGGGAUGAAGGCCUUCGGGUUGUAAACCGCUGUCGUAGAGGAGGAAAUGCAGGGGGGUUCUCCCCUCUGUUUGACCUAUUCUAGGAGGAAGUACGGGCUAAGUUCUUGCCAGCAGCCGCCGUAA
rnacentral:rRNA from 1 species